AUUGAACGCUGGCGGCAUGCCUUACACAUGCAAGUCGAACGGCAGCACGGACUUCGGUCUGGUGGCGAGUGGCGAACGGGUGAGUAAUGCAUCGGAACGUACCCGGUAGUGGGGGAUAACUACCCGAAAGGGUGGCUAAUACCGCAUAUACUGUGCGCAGGAAAGCAGGGGACCUUCGGGCCUUGUGCUACCGGGGCGGCCGAUGUCAGAUUAGGUAGUUGGUGGGGUAACGGCCUACCAAGCCUGCGAUCUGUAGCGGGUCUGAGAGGAUGAUCCGCACAACUGGGACUGAGACGCGGCCCAGCCUCCUACGGGAGGCAGCAGUGGGGAAUUUUGGACAAUGGGCGCAAGCCUGAUCCAGCCAUGCCGCGUGAGUGAAGAAGGCCUUCGGGUUGUAAAGCUCUUUCGGACGGAAAGAAAUCGCGCAGGCUAAUACCCUGUGCGGAUGACGGUACCGUCAUAAGAAGCACCGGCUAACUACGUGCCAGCCGCCGCCGUAA
rnacentral:rRNA from 1 species